AUUAAUCGUUUCCGCCUUCCAUUGGAGGACCCAUAUAAAUUUAAUGUUGUUUUCGAAAUUACGACAAUGGUUUUUGGAUUCUUUUUUUGUCUAAAUUAUUAAUGAAUUGCUGGUUAUGGAAGCGGAACGCUCGUAUAUAUAGUGCCUAUGGAAAGCAAUCAAUGUAUCUUUAAUAUAAUGUGUCCAAUUUGCUACUUUUAAAAUAUUCAGGCCGGCAUAUUUAAAAACUGUGAUCAAAAAUAAAUUAAAUCUUGAAUUGUUAAA